rnacentral:rRNA from 1 species
GGGAUACAUUUGGAACAGAUGCUAAUACCGUAUAACAAUGACAACCGCAUGGUUGUUAUUUAAAAGAUGGUUCUGCUAUCACUAAGAGAUGGUCCCGCGGUGCAUUAGCUAGUUGGUAAGGUAAUGGCUUACCAAGGCGAUGAUGCAUAGCCGAGUUGAGAGACUGAUCGGCCACAAUGGGACUGAGACACGGCCCAUACUCCUACGGGAGGCAGCAGUAGGGAAUCUUCCACAAUGGGCGAAAGCCUGAUGGAGCAACGCCGCGUGUGUGAUGAAGGGUUUCGGCUCGUAAAACACUGUUGUAAGAGAAGAAUGACAUUGAGAGUAACUGUUCAAUGUGUGACGGUAUCUUACCAGAAAGGAACGGCUAAAUACGUGCCAGCAGCCGCGGUAAUACGUAUGUUCCAAGCGUUAUCCGGAUUUAUUGGGCGUAAAGCGAGCGCAGACGGUUAUUUAAGUCUGAAGUGAAAGCCCUCAGCUCAACUGAGGAAUUGCUUUGGAAACUGGAUGACUUGAGUGCAGUAGAGGAAAGUGGAACUCCAUGUGUAGCGGUGAAAUGCGUAGAUAUAUGGAAGAACACCAGUGGCGAAGGCGGCUUUCUGGACUGUAACUGACGUUGAGGUUCGAAAGUGAGGGUAGCAAAAAGGAUUAGAUACCCUGGUAGUCCACACCGUAAACGAUGAGUGCUAGGUGUUUGAGGGUUUCCGCCCUUAAGUGCCGCAGCUAACGCAUUAACCACUCCGCCUGGGG